CCCUCAUCUCCCUCUUUUCUUCCCUCUCCCUUUUUUUCUUCCCCUUGUUUUUCUGUCAACACUAAUGGGCGGCGAUGAUUACUACGUUAAUCCAGAUUUCGGAGACUUCACCGAUGAGGAUAUCUUUGACGAUGAGAAGAGCUCCGACGACGAAGAGAUGGAGUACCCAGAAUACCUAGGAAAAAAGAGACCCUUGCUAUGGUAUAAUGUUGAAGUUACUACAGUUGGAAUGCCCCCAACCUAUCUCUGCCAUCAUCAACCAUGACACCAUCAAGCUUGCGUAUAUACCCAUUCACCAUUUACCUUGCGUAUAUACCCAUUCACUAGUGCCCAAGCCUAUCUCUGCUUUGUUUUGUUGGUCAUGACUGUAGUUAGACUAGGUCAAAUUUUAAUAGGGUUUCUUAGUUUUGGGGUGCGAAUGGAAAUUUGUGGAGUGCAACUAGCCCCCACCUAGAUUGUUUGAUUUGUCUAUAUUUGACAUGAUUUUUUUCCAAAAAAAAUGUACUUAUAUAAAAAAUUAUGGUAACUACUUACCAUAAAAUUAUUGUGCUCAUAUUUUUUGAUGAAUAAAAUAAAGAUAAUGUUUGAGACCUCUAAAAAGUGACCCCAAAACA